rnacentral:lncRNA from 1 species
AUGGCACUAGAUGCUGCGUCUCAUGUGCCCAGAAUUGAAGUUUAUCCUCCCCUUCAGCAUGCCACAGAACACCAGGAGUGAACUAGCAUGGGAACCACUGUUUCAGAUGAGCCUCCCAGGCCUCACCAACCUCAGACUCAGUGGAGUCCUGGACAAUGAGAUGGUAAGCAGUUCUCCUGUACCCUCAUCAACUCACAUAAGUGGAGACCCCGACAAGGAUGAUGUGAACAGAGACACCCAUGACCUGACCUUUUCAGCUAUUUGUGGAGGCAUUGAGGAGGUCUUGACCACCUCAGAAGUAUGGCGGCCCCUAAUGUAAGUAUCUGAUCUAGGGACCACAUGUCCUGAUGUAACAGCAAGGAGCCACAUUCAGGUUGUGGCCACAGAAAUUUGAGUUUCAGAUCUGCAUGAGCAGAGCAGAGUCACAUAAAGAUUUUAAAAAGAUGAAAGUAAGUUUAUUAUGAAAGUACAGCAGAUGUGAGCAUAGUCAAAUAAUAUAUUACCACACAACCAGGCAGGAGACAGAACCAAAGAUGAAGGGUCUUGCAUGAGACAGAGUCUUGCACAGGCAGGAAAGAAAACACCACAGAAAACUCAGAUUCUGAA